rnacentral:rRNA from 1 species
CCUACGGGAGGCAGCAGUGAGGAAUAUUGGUCAAUGGACGAGAGUCUGAACCAGCCAAGUAGCGUGAAGGAUGACUGCCCUAUGGGUUGUAAACUUCGUUUAUAGGGGAAUAAAAUGUAGCACGUGUGGGAUGUUGUAUGUACCAUAUGAAUAAGGAUCGGCUAACUCCGUGCCAGCAGCCGCGGUAAUACGGAGGAUCCGAGCGUUAUCCGGAUUUAUUGGGUUUAAAGGGAGCGUAGGGGGAUUGUUAAGUCAGUUGUGAACGUUUGCGGCUCAACCGUAAAAUUGCAGUUGAAACGGGCAGUCUUGCGUACAGUAGAGGUGGGCGGACUUCGUGGUGUAGCGGUGAACUGCU